rnacentral:rRNA from 1 species
GCGGACAGUGUCUGGUGGGUAGUUUGACUGGGGCGGUCUCCUCCUAAAGAGUAACGGAGGAGCACGAAGGUUGGCUAAUCCUGGUCGGACAUCAGGAGGUUAGUGCAAUGGCAUAAGCCAGCUUGACUGCGAGCGUGACGGCGCGAGCAGGUGCGAAAGCAGGUCAUAGUGAUCCGGUGGUUCUGAAUGGAAGGGCCAUCGCUCAACGGAUAAAAGGUACUCCGGGGAUAACAGGCUGAUACCGCCCAAGAGUUCAUAUCGACGGCGGUGUUUGGCACCUCGAUGUCGGCUCAUCACAUCCUGGGGCUGAAGUAGGUCCCAAGGGUAUGGCUGUUCGCCAUUUAAAGUGGUACGCGAGCUGGGUUUAGAACGUCGUGAGACAGUUCGGUCCCUAUCUGCCGUGGGCGCUGGAGAACUGAGGGGGGCUGCUCCUAGUACGAGAGGACCGGAGUGGACGCAUCACUGGUGUUCGGGUUGUCAUGCCAAUGGCACUGCCCGGUAGCUAAAUGCGGAAGAGAUAAGUGCUGAAAGCAUCUAAGCACGAAACUUGCCCCGAGAUGAGUUCUCCCUGACUCCUUGAGAGUCCUGAAGGAACGUUGAAGACGACGACGUUGAUAGGCCGGGUGUGUAAGCGCAGCGAUGCGUUGAGCUAACCGGUACUAAUGAACCGUGAGG